UUUUUUUUUUUUUUUUUUUUUAAAGACGGAGUCUCGCUCUGUUUCCCAGGCUGGAGUGCAAUGGUACAAUCUUGACUCACUGUAACAUCCAUCUCCUGGGUUCAAGCAAUUCUGUCUCAGCCUCCCAAGUAGCUGGGACUACAGGCAUGCACCAUCUCACCCAGCUUUUUUGUAUUUUUAGUAGAGACAGGGUUUCACCAUGUUGGCCAUGCUGAUUUUGAACUCCUGACCUCAGGUCAUCCACACACCUCAGCCUCCCAAAGUGCUAGGAUUACAGGCUUGAGCCACUGCAUCCGGCCAGGCCGGCCCUUCUUGAUCAUACUUCCUAAAAUAGCCCCUCACACAAGGAAAUUUUUGGGGCGGGUGGAUAUGUUCAUUAUCUUGACUAUGGUGAUCCAAGAGCCAGGAAGAUUUGAUCUUUACUUAUGCAACCUCAUCUUUCCCUAACCUCCAGAUGAUACUCUCCCAGCUAUGGGAAAUGUAUUCAUUCCUGGGAAGCCAUGCUCUAACCUGGUCUCUGCACAUGCUGUUCCCUGUGUGAAGACAUACACCUCCCACCCUUGCCUCCCAACCCCUGGUACACAAACUGUACUUCAGCCAGCCAGCUCCUUCCAUUGGCCUUUAAGGUUGAUGGCAUCCUCAGGGAGGCCCCUUAGCACUACACACAAGGCGUGGAUAGGUCUCUGCACUUGGAGCCUUAACUAUGACUGCCAAUUCAAGCCUCCAAUUUCCCCUUCACUCGCAGCUCAAGUCGUCCCAGUGCCUAGCACACUUCAUGGUAUGGACUAGACGCUUAGAAUGUACGGAUGGAUGGAUUGGAUGGAUGGAUGGAUGGAUGGAUGGAUGGAUGGAUGGAUGGAUGGAUUAGAUUGAUGGACAGGUAAGUCUCAACCCCAAAACUACUACUUUUGGGAUCUGGAGAGAGUGGAGGGGCUUCCUAACACUGUGGAAGAGUGAGACUGAUUCUAAGCAAGUGUCCAAGUCCCACAGGAGGGCUGGGGA
rnacentral:lncRNA from 1 species